GGUUUCCGUAGGUGAACCUGCGGAAGGAUCAUUAUCGAAAUAAAUCUGAUGAGUUGCUGCUGGUUCUCUAAGGGAGCAUGUGCACACUUGUCAUCUUUAUAUCUCCACCUGUGCACCUUUUGUAGACCUGGAUCACUCUCCGAAUGCUAGCCAUUCAGGAUUGAGGAAUUGACUUCACAUUCUCUUCUUCUAUUUCCAGGCCUAUGUUUCUUCAUAUACCCCAAUGUAUGUCGUAGAAUGUAAUCAAAUGGCCUUUGUGCUAUAAAUCUAUACAACUUUCAGCAACGGAUCUCUUGGCUCUCGCAUCGAUGAAGAACGCAGCGAAAUGCGAUAAGUAAUGUGAAUUGCAGAAUUCAGUGAAUCAUCGAAUCUUUGAACGCACCUUGCGCUCCUUGGUAUUCCGAGGAGCAUGCCUGUUUGAGUGUCAUUAAUAUAUCAACCUCUUCAGCUUUUGCUCGUUGAGUGUUGGAUGUGGGGGGUCAUUUUUGCUGGUCUUCUAUGGUCAGCUCCCCUGAAAUGCAUUAGCGGAACAAUUUGUGGACCGUUCAUUAGUGUGAUAACUAUCUACGCUAUCGACGUGAAGCAGUUCAGCUUCUAACAGUCCAUUGACUUGGACAAAAUUUUUAUUAAUGUGACCUCAAAU
rnacentral:rRNA from 1 species